UAAGGUCACGGCGAGACGAGCCGUUUAUCAUUACGAUAGGUGUCAAGUGGAAGUGCAGUGAUGUAUACAGCUGAGGCAUCCUAACAGACCGAGAGAUUUGAAC
rnacentral:rRNA from 1 species